CGUUGUCAGAAGCCGUUUUUCUGGUACUUUGGGAAGGGUUGCACUGACAUAAAGUACCCGUUAAACAAAAACGACAAAAUGUUUUUUGCACUGACCCGGUCCAAUAUAUACAUCGCACACGACACCUUCCAUAAUCCAUUCUAGAAACUGAUUCAAAGCCGUAUUUUUUGGAGCGCAUGUCCCGCUGCUGCUUUUAUGCAAGCGCACCAUAUGAAAACCGUUUGGCAAAAUUAGCUUAUUAGCGUGCUUCACAGCAAUAUCCAGUGCGGCAGCGAUUCUGUCAUAGUCGAUGAUAGAAUUCCGGUUUCCAGCUUCGAUAAUUGUACAGACUGUUAUAUUAUUCUGCGGCCGUGUUGAUAUAACAUUUGACACCUCACACUUCCGAACGUCCCAGGCAUACGUAGCGCAAUUUCGUGAUCCAAAAUGAGCAAAAAAUAAAGAAGCAGUGCACAGUUUAAUUGCAAUAUUAACCUUCGCCGCGCACGACGUGAUGUGCCGCAUUCUGUUACAGCAAGGCUGUCUCUAGACGAAUACACUGGGCCUAUAAUCCUGAAGAGACCUUCUCAUCACUUACUGCGUACCGCGCGAAAAUGGAUAUUUGGAGUUCAAUCAGCUGCAAUAAAAGCGUUAAUUCGAUUAACUGAAGCUGUAUUCCAUUUGCGCUUGCAUAAUGACGUGGAUUCAUGCAUUUGUUAGUCAUUCACCAGUAUCAUUAAAAAAAGGUCCACGGUAUAACAGUAUUACCGUUACUUCUCACCAACGACCCUACUGCACGCUUUUGUACCAACCAGGGAUCAAUUACGCGAACACAAAAGAGCCAUCACGUUCGUCAUGAUUGCCAACGCCAGUUAAUGGCUUUGGUAAGUUUUGAUCAGACCGGAUUCCUUCUGUUUCCAACCUGUGUUCCUCGAAUGGGCAUUUGCAGCUUAAGCAAUUCAGGAGCCCUCCAAAAUAACACACUAUAAUCUCGAUCCUUCUGCUCCGCUCCCAGUGGAGCAACUUCUUUUGGGUCGUGUAAUUUGGUUAUACCGUAGUCCGCGACCUUUACCGACAACCGGCCAUCGAUUAAGCAGCUUAAUGAUGCCAGGUAACCGUGAGACUGGACUGGUGUGGCGUGCAGACAAAACAUUCCCUAGUAAGAAAUGACCUUUUGGAGUUUCUACAUCCAUCAGCAAGUAGGCAUGCCAGCCAACCCCUUAUCAAACAUUACUUCAGCAAUGUCGCUAAUCAAAGAAUACUUGAAUGACCAGUCCAUUUGCAAAGAUCUUUGAUCUAAAAGGUCAUCCAAGCAGCCUUUUUGACAAAAUUCGGCCAUGAUGUAUACAACCCAGUUGAUUUCAUCCAGACACAACCCGAUAAAACGUUGUAAAUUAGAAUGUCUUAUUGGCUGAAUCUAAAACAAUUCUUUCAAAAUUGAUUUGCACACUACGACUACAAUAAUUGUUACUUAGGUAUUAUAAACCUAUCAGUUCGUGCCUGAUUCAUUUGAGCAAUAAUAUCAGGAGUAGGACGAAAGGUCUUAUCUGCCACAUCUUUGAUACCAAUCGUUUGUCCUUGUAGUAUGGCGCCUCUCCAAGCGGAGACAGAGUUGAAAUAGGAUGAU